AACGAACGCUGGCGGCAUGCCUAACACAUGCAAGUCGAACGAGACCUUCGGGUCUAGUGGCGCACGGGUGCGUAACGCGUGGGAACCUGCCCUUAGGUUCGGAAUAACUCCCCGAAAGGGGUGCUAAUACCGGAUAAUGUCUUCGGACCAAAGAUUUAUCGCCUUUGGAUGGGCCCGCGUUGGAUUAGCUAGUUGGUAGGGUAAAAGCCUACCAAGGCGACGAUCCAUAGCUGGUCUGAGAGGAUGAUCAGCCACACUGGGACUGAGACACGGCCCAGACUCCUACGGGAGGCAGCAGUGGGGAAUAUUGGACGAUGGGCGAAAGCCUGAUCCAGCAAUGCCGCGGAAGUGAUGAAGGCCUUAGGGUUGUAAAGCUCUUUUACCCGGGAUGAUAAUGACAGUACCGGGAGAAUAAGCUCCGGCUAACUCCGUG
rnacentral:rRNA from 1 species